UUCACAAUAUUUCCUUACCUCCUUAAGUACGUAAUAGAAGGUAAAGCACUAAAUUAUGCAGCUAUGGUAUGAAAAAACACAUGUCCUACAUAACAGCAGUAUGAAAUCCAAGUCUAUCUGGAUCUCCAAUAACACACUUACAUACAUGUUAUCUUGAAGCUUAGGAAUGGAUGUCCAGUUUAUCAGUGAAGGCCAAUUUCUCAUGCUAGGUCUUGGGAGGCUAGAAACAUGAGUAUUACCCUUAUCAUUAAUCUAUCAUUCUCUCAGUCUCUGUAAGGUAGAGGAAGGAUGAUACUGCCAAGUUACCUUGUUCUGUACGAGGAUCACAGAUACGUAUUUGUUGCUUAUGGUCAGGCAGAUUUGCUGACCUUUGCCAGUUGGAAAAUCCUAUUUUAUUACUUCUCAUUCUUCUCACCUAACGUUUCCCGAUCACUUCAUCUCCUAUCAGUAUGUCUAGUGCUAAGAUAGCCUUGUAGUAGCAAUGACUUUUACUCAUACAUUAUUAAACACAAGUCUAUAUGGGUUAUUUUUACUGCUACUUUAUGUAAUCUAAGACCUACAUAAUGAGUCAGAGGAUAAAACUGCCCUCCAUAGCUCUGAUCAAUGCCCAUUAGCAGUUAGUAAUAAUUAGUGCCUAUGUACAGAAAUUUGAGUAAGCCAGCAGGCUGGUAGUAACUGAUUGCCAAAAGCAGUGGGUUUGGGAUGCUCAUCCUGCACCAGCUGAGUAUCUCCUGGUAGGCAGAUCUCUUCCACGUGUCAUUUGGAAGUAGUUUGUGCCACCAGUGCUGCAAAAGCCAUGGUUCAGGAAGUUGUGCUUUAGUAAAUACAUUUUGUCUGUGCUAGAAAUACAGACGUCAACAUCUGAAGGCUGUAAGUAAAGACAACUGGUGUCAGUGCAGCAUGCAGUUUUCAGUUUGAAAGGGAAACAUCUCUUUCUCUGGUAUAACAACUGGUGAAGAAUUAUACGGUUGUUCAAGUUAUUUCUGACACCACUAAAAGUGCAUAUCAGCCCUUGUUAGCUGUUCUGCCACUCCAGUGUCUACAACAGGAGGAAAUUUAACUUCAGAUGUGCUCUUCAACAGAACCAGAAUGUUAAAUCAGUUUCCUGUUCCAGUCUUCCCAAGAGCCAACUCAGUCUAGUCCUGCUGCUUUGGUAGGUUUUGAUCUUUCCUUCAUAUUAUGCACACAAAUAUAUUUAAACUAAGGAAAAGUCCCAGUGGGACAUCUGUGCUCAAACAGUUAUGUAAACCCAGAACAGAGAUCUGACUCUUAAUACACCCCAGACCUGCUAAUAUGCUUACAGGAGUGACACUGGGAUCCUGCAGGAGUUGGAGGCCAGAAGUUGUUAUUAACAGAUGGGAAGGUUCCAGCCAUCUGUGCAUGAGAUAAACCGCCCUAAUAUUGAAGAGCAGGCAGCUGCAUCAGAAUUGCUGUUGGAAGUGCUCCCUGGACCACACUAGUCCCUGAAGCAUGCUUGGCAACCAUAUGGGAAAGCCAAACCUCAGCUUCCACAGGAGGGAGAAGGAAAGGAAAUCCGCUUUGGUUUUAACAGCUGGCAGUGAAUAGGGGAGUUAUGAAUACAUGGAAAUGAAGAAUGAGGGCACGUGACUAAAGCCAUGAAGGUCAGUUUUUGGUAUGCCAACAGAUGAGCAAUGCUCCAAGUGGCAUUUGACAAAAUGUCACUCUGAUUGUGUAGACAUGAUGAUGAUGUCAAAAGAGACUCAUGUGAAUUGGGAUUCAGGAGGAUCCUCUAUUUAAAUCCUGUCUGAGCUACUGACAGGCUGCAUGACCUCCUACAAUAUACUGAGCUCCAUGGGUCAAAUUGGUCCUCAUUGCAACUAAAUUGACUACAAUAGAAUUACUCUGGGAGUGAACUUGAUUUUUCAGACAUCAGUCAACACAGCUGGUUCACAGAAUAAAUGAAAGAAAGCAGGCAUAGAUGUCACUGGAAGACAGAUGCAUCUGAACUGAGACUUACAGUGUUAGCAAAAUCAGAGCAGAACUGCACAACUGUUACUUAAAAUGCAUAAAUAAUUGUUGAUGGUGGUCUAUUGACAAUGUAAACUCCAUAAAGGCAACCAAGCUACAAAAGUGUCAUUGUCUUUUUUAAUGGGAAUGUAAUGAUCAUGUAUAUUAAUUAUAACUUGGGAAAUGACUGAUGCUUCUUUAAGAAUUCUGUUAUAGUUUUUUCUUCAAAAUAUAAUGACGUUAAAUGACACAAGCAUACAACACAAUGCUGCACAGUGGUAACCUUCUUCCAGAGGAAAUGCUUCUGGAGGCAGAUAACAAAAUAAUGGCAUUUAUUAAUGAAAGAUAGUUAAGAAUACUUAACAUAAGCACAGGAUAAAACUACCUCUAAAAUGGUGAAAAAUAAGACUGCUUCUAAGCUUCCCAGGAUAGAAGCUUUUAGAAAUUACAACUUUUAUGGAUUUGGCAUAGACAAAGAACGAAGUGAUUUGCUGCUUUGUAGAAAAUGAAGUGAGGGACUAGUGUUAUCUUACUGAUACUUUAUUCCACUAUUUAUGCUUUGCUUGUGUGCAGCUUUUGCUUUACCUGUUAAACUGCCUUUAUCUCAAUCCAUGAGUUCUCUCACUUUUACCCUUCCGAUUCUCUCCCCCAU